rnacentral:rRNA from 4 species
UGUUUCGGCUAGGGGGUCAUCCCGACUUACCAACCCGAUGCAAACUACGAAUACCGAAGAAUGUUAUCACGGGAGACACACGGCGGGUGCUAACGUCCGUCGUGAAGAGGGAAACAACCCAGACCGCCAGCUAAGGUCCCAAAGUCAUGGUUAAGUGGGAAACGAUGUGGGAAGGCACAGACAGCCAGGAUGUUGGCUUAGAAGCAGCCAUCAUUUAAAGAAAGCGUAAUAGCUCACUGGUCGAGUCGGCCUGCGCGGAAGAUGUAACGGGGCUAAACCAUGCACCGAAGCUGCGGCAGCGACACUAUGUGUUGUUGGGUAGGGGAGCGUUCUGUAAGCCUGCGAAGGUGACCUGUGAGGGUUGCUGGAGGUAUCAGAAGUGCGAAUGCUGACAUAAGUAACGAUAAAGCGGGUGAAAAGCCCGCUCGCCGGAAGACCAAGGGUUCCUGUCCAACGUUAAUCGGGGCAGGGUGAGUCGACCCCUAAGGCGAGGCCGAAAGGCGUAGUCGAUGGGAAACAGGUUAAUAUUCCUGUACUUGGUGUUACUGCGAAGGGGGGACGGAGAAGGCUAUGUUAGCCGGGCGACGGUUGUC